GGCAAUUCCAUCAGUGCACACACCACUUGGGGUGGAGUAUGAACAUGACAUUUAUGGGGAUUUGCAUGAAGAUCUCUCAGUUUCUACAGUAACUGUGGAUUCGAAUACAACUGGUUAUGAGAUUCUCGAAUACGAUGAUUUUUCGAAUGACACACAGUAUGAAGAAUAUGAAAUAUAUGAGGAUGACUUUGACUUUGCAGAACGGGAAAGAGCUCAGACCUUGGAUGUUGAGGCUAUACUCAGAGCAGAGAAAGGCCAGAAGGGAG